UCCAUCCUCACUAGAAAUCUCUGAAAUAAAAAGUUAGGGUUUCUGAGUGGGUUUUAGUAAGACAUGAUGAUGAGUUCGAAAGUGGCACCAGGAUGUAUUUGUGAAACGAUCGACUGAAAAGUGUACUUGCAACAGAAAUGAAACUAUAGCUGAAUAAUCGGAGAGUUGCCAAUGAGAAAAGGAAGUGUCCUGUAGUGCUGAUUGUAUAUAGUGGUUCCUUGAAAAUGCAGGCACUCACAUUUCCAGACUCAUUUUGAGCUGACAUCCUGACCUCCAUGGCAAAGAUGGAUCGAUUAUAAUCUCAGAGAAUGACUGGAAUUUCUUUUGCGGAGAUGAUUGGCAAGGUGCCAACACGAAAUGUGUAUCUGCGAAAAUUGAGCUCCCUAGUGACAUGGAGAGAUUAGGUGGAUCUUCUGAAGAGAUGCUAAUUUCAGAAUCGUUCCUGAAUCCUUCAAAUGAGGAGGUUGAGUCAAAGCAACCUACUAUGACGACUUUUAUUCAAUGGAAUGCCUAAAAGAAAAAGAGAAACAGAGAGUUAAUGCAGAAAUUAAAUUAUUGCAAUAAAGACAUUUCUGAAGAUCUGCUACGUGGAAAGGAAGCUCCAAAAUCUGCUCUUGAAGCUUCUUGUGCAGUUUCUGUGCCAGAUAGGCACUCACGGAGGACUUCACAUGGCAACUCAGUAAACUUGAAAGUGUCUGGUUCCAUGUGGAUCUAUCAGUUGAAAUGAUGGUCACGGAGUCAUUUGGGGUGGUCCAGUCAAUGCAAUGAGAACCCAAUGAAAGAAUAUUGUUGAGUCCUUUGGGUUCACCCAUCUCCGAGCAGAAGUCAAAUCUGGUUCCGAAAAUGGAACCAUGAUCUCGAACAUGAUAAAGGAAGGAAAGAUUGUAACUUCCUAGGUUACAGUUACACUUCUUUAACGGGCAAAGAAAGUGAGAACGACAAAGUCAAUAUUUACAGAUUCCUUCGCAAUUGAAAGUAUCAUGCUGCUUUUGAGAAUGUGGUAAGGCUGCUAAUUUAUCUUCCACUUUUUUUCCUUGGGUUGCAGUGGUUAGAUAGACAAAUGAAAUGAAUUCCUGACAGAUACAACAGAUAAAGUGAAAACUUAUUAUGACUAUUCCAGCUUUAUGUAGUUUCUCACUGGAACCCACUCCAAUGUGACACAUUUCUGAAUGUUCUUUAUAUAAUUCCUCCAAGUAAAACUUGCCUCUUUGAUACCUCCUGCAUUGUUUGUUCUUAUCUAUGGAAAGUUCAUUUAUAGACUGGCACUGUACCUGAGGUUGUACUAUUUUUUGAUUGUUCGGAGUAGGAGAUGGAAAUCAGUGAGGCUGAAUUGAUCCAUUCCAUAAAUAUAUAUGAUGAAACAAAUUAGUGGAUUUCUGGUUUGUUCAAGUUUUCCAGUGUUUCCCGUGGUACUAAAGCUGUAUAUUUGUCUUUGGUUGUUUCGAUGUCUUUAAAGUAUAAUUUUUGUAAAGAUAACUUGAUUCGCUUUAGGAUUAAGUGAAUCUGUAGUUUGGUGAAAUUGUGGUUAGUUUUCUAUAUGAAUCGAACUAUUGAAGUAAUUUUCCAGCUUAUACAGAAUGGCAGUUAAGAACGUGAUGUAUUGAAGUUUUCAGUUUGAUGUGAACCCUUCCUGUGCUGUUAAGUUUAAAUGUCCAUUCUAUCAUACAAAUUUCCGUGUUACUUCUAUAUUUGGCGAAGUAAAUGUUGUGGCUUGAAAACAAUUCAGUCUCAAGUGGACGAUGAUGUCUGUGUAUUAAGCACGAUUCCUCUCAAUAGUAUUAUUUAGU